rnacentral:rRNA from 1 species
GUCGGGAAUAUUGCACAAUGAGCGAAAGCUUGAUGCAGCAACGCCGCGUGCGCGAUGAAGGUCUUCGGAUCGUAAAGCGCUUUUCGAGGGGAUGAGGAAGGACAGUACCCUCGGAAUAAGUCACGGCUAACUACGUGCCAGCAGCCGCGGUAAAACGUAGGUGGCGAGCGUUAUCCGGAUUUACUGGGCGUAAAGCGUGUUCAGGCGGUUUGGAAAGUCGGGCAUGAAAUCUCUUGGCUCAACCAGGAGAGGCUGUCCGAUACUUCCAGACUUGAGGGCAACAGAGGGCGGUGGAAUUCCGGGUGUAGUGGUAAAAUGCGUAGAUAUCCGGAGGAACACCAGUGGCGAAGGCGGCCGCCUGGGUUGCCCCUGACGCUAAAACACGAAGGCUAGGGUAGAGAACGGGAUUAGAAACCCCAGUAGUCC